UGGAUAGUGACUUAUUGGUAGAGUGCUUGCCUAGCAUGCAUGAAGCCCUAGGUUCGAUUCCUCACUACCAC
rnacentral:tRNA from 1 species